rnacentral:rRNA from 1 species
UCCAGACUCCUACGGGAGGCAGCAGUGAGGAAUAUUGGUCAAUGGCCGGAAGGCUGAACCAGCCAAGUCGCGUGAGGGACGACUGCCCUAUGGGUUGUAAACCUCUUUUAUAAGGGAAGAAUAAAUGCUACGUGUAGCAUGAUGCCUGUACCUUAUGAAUAAGCAUCGGCUAACUCAGUGCCAGCAGCCGCGGUAUUCCAUAGGGAGCAAGCGUUAUCCUGAUUUAUUGGGUGUAAAGGGUGCGUAGACGGGAAAUUAAGUUAGUUGUGAAAUCCCUCGGCUUAACUGAGGAACUGCAACUAAAACUGAUUUUCUUGAGUACUGGAGAGGAAAGUGGAAUUCCUAGUGUAGCGGUGAAAUGCGUAGAUAUUAGGAGGAACACCAGUGGCAAAGGCGACUUUCUGGACAGUAACUGACGUUGAGGCACGAAAGUGUGGGGAGCAAACAGGAUUAGAUACCCCCGUAACC